GAUGAACGCUGGCGGCGUGCCUAAUACAUGCAAGUCGAGCGAACAGACGAGGAGCUUGCUCCUCUGACGUUAGCGGCGGACGGGUGAGUAACACGUGGAUAACCUACCUAUAAGACUGGGAUAACUUCGGGAAACCGGAGCUAAUACCGGAUAAUAUAUUGAACCGCAUGGUUCAAUAGUGAAAGACGGUUUUGCUGUCACUUAUAGAUGGAUCCGCGCCGCAUUAGCUAGUUGGUAAGGUAACGGCUUACCAAGGCAACGAUGCGUAGCCGACCUGAGAGGGUGAUCGGCCACACUGGAACUGAGACACGGUCCAGACUCCUACGGGAGGCAGCAGUAGGGAAUCUUCCGCAAUGGGCGAAAGCCUGACGGAGCAACGCCGCGUGAAUGAUGAAGGUCUUCUGAUCGUAAAACUCUGUUAUUAGGGAAGAACAAAUGUGUAAGUAACUAUGCACGUCUUGACGGUACCUAAUCAGAAAGCCACGGCUAACUACGUG
rnacentral:rRNA from 1 species